UACGUAGGGGGCUAGCGUUGCUCGGAAUCACUGGGCGUAAAGCGCACGUAGGCGGAUUGUUAAGUCAGGGGUGAAAUCCUGGAGCUCAACUCCAGAACUGCCUUUGAUACUGGCGAUCUCGAGUCCGGGAGAGGUGAGUGGAACUGCGAGUGUAGAGGUGAAAUUCGUAGAUAUUCGCAAGAACACCAGUGGCGAAGGCGGCUCACUGGCCCGGUACUGACGCUGAGGUGCGAAAGCGUGGGGAGCAAACAGG
rnacentral:rRNA from 1 species